UUUUCCUUUUCUUUUUGUUCUGGAGUAUUUUGCAAAACUGAACAUGGAACUAUGGUACAUGGCUGGAAGUACCCAGGUACCCCAAGCUAGCUCUGAUUGAUGGAGUACCGAUCUGCAUCUUAUAGAGCAGGCUAUACUGCCAGAAAAGACCAUACCCCUUCCUAUAGUAAUGCUGCAGCUCUGAUUUCAUCACUUUCAUCAAAGAGUGAAAAAAAAAAAACCAAACCAAAGCCCAUCCUACACUCCAAUAACAGCAGUUUCGUUGAGCGAGAGGCAGCUCUUCCAUACCCUGAUCUCUGAUUUCAUGGAUCUUCCUCGGACUGGAUGAGUAAAACCUGUCUAGUCCCACUGAAAUCAGUGCAAUUGCUCUAGGUUUGAACUGGGAUAAUUUCAUAGGAAUUGGCCGGAGAAUAAUGUCUGGACCAUUUGAAGUCACUGGCAAAAUUUCCAUUAAUUUUAUUAGAAUCAGAAUCUGGCAAUAAGCUCAUAUUCAGCUUCCCAUCUGAAUAUUCCCAGCUGAAUAUUCUCAGCUGAGAAUAUUCAGGACAGAAUACAGUAUUUUCAGAAGUGGAGGCUACACUGAACCUUCAUGUCUCUGAAAGCAAGGUUACAGAUGUGUGUUUUAACUGCACCAGUGAAGGAACACUGUAAUGCUGGAUAUUUUAAAGCUUGUUUUGAUAGGAAAAAGAGCAUCUAUUAGGAGAUUUGAGCAUAGCAGUCAUAGGGAUGGGAGGGAAGAGUACAACUUUCUUUUGCAACUGUUUUUGGUUGGGUUUUCUUUUUUCCAGAUUGUGAAGACACUCAAAAUUUGAAAAUAAGGUUUCAUGUGAUAGCACAGACCCAACAUGCUCUUUUUGCUUUAGUGGAUCUCACUACCUUCAUGAAAGAGGUCUGUGUUUCCCAGGAAGGACUAAAGAAGGCAAUGUCCAGGGGAAGUUUUGUACUGCUGGUUCAUUUAUUCACUUUUCUCAACAUAGAGCAAUGGGGCUGCUUUUAUUAGAUGAGGAGACUAGGGCUCACUCCCAGAGAGGUGGUGAGCAACACACCUUUCCUUCUGUAAGGCAGUGUGGGAUACUUCUGGGAAAAUCCAGCUUCCGAGGAGUAGAGCCCAGUGCACAAGCACUGGGCUCGCCCUUGGUGAGCUGAGAGGGAUGCAGGACAUUUUGUUAUCCCUUAGGAAGGGCGUCUGGAGGUUGGGAGGAAGUGCAGAAGCCCUUAAGGUGAGUGAGGGACGUUUCGUAGGCAGGUAUUUAUCCCACACAUGCUGGGAAAAGAGAGCAGCCACUUCCCACAGACAUUCACUUCCCGGUUUCUGAGCUUGUUUGGGUGUAGCUCCUGUUGCUGUGUCCAGAAGAGCUUUGUAGCCUCGGCUUCCUGUUUUGACAAUGAGAGAGGGCAGUGUCCCAUUACACGGUUAUUGCUGAAGAAUGAACCUUUCCAUCCAAAGUGUCCGCUGCUUCUCUUGAAGAUAGGAAGAGAUGGUGCACAUUUAGCAACAGACAGUGUCAAACUCUGGAGUAGUUCUUGGGUAGCAGUCCCAGAGCUCUUGGGUUUCUGCUCCUCUGAUUCUCAAACAUGUAUCAACUUUACAUUUUUAAUCUGAAAUAGUGGUUACUGCAAUAAACAGUAGCUGUUACAACAGUUGGAAGCAUUCGGGCAUCUGAGGUUAAAGAAGUCUGAGGACAGGAACACACAGCAAACCUUCCAGUAGUUCCCUCUUAAGUUACUUUAUUCUAGAGGUAAAUUUCCUCAUGUAGGAGGGAAGCUAAUGCCCUCCUUGAGAAGUCAUUGCACCUUAUUAAGUUUAAGUGUUCCACUUUUUUCCCAGAAGUGCUUUCCAUAAUUGUAUGCUACUUAUGCCUGGGAAUGCCUCUUGCUUGUGGAUGUGAAUGCUUUACUGUGGGAUUCAGUUAAUGCUAUCAGAUCUACGAAAGUUACAGCAUCACUCAAAGACUCAAUGAGGCUGAAAAAGACUAGGUCUUCUUCCACAGGUCAAAUAUAGUGACUCUCUCAGAUAUUCCUGCCAUUUGAAAGGGCGAGUUUCCCGAAAGGAUUUUAGGACUUUGGAUGAGAGCUGCAUACCUAAUUCUCUGGAGGAGUGCCCAGGCUCUAUUCUACAACUGCUGCAGGCUGAGACACACACGUUUUAAGAGUUAACCAUAUAUUUCAGAGCUGCCGGCAGGAUUUUGGAUUUUUUGCAGCCAAUAAGCCUUCGCAGCAUAUCUGCGGUCCAAAACGCUAUCGUAACACGUAAUUUCACUCGAGUUUUCGCGUCAGAUCUUCAAAAAUGCUGCGAAUCCAGGUUUUUGGGUAUCGUGCGAGUCACCAGCUUUCCCUGCUCGUUACGGACAUCUGGUGGCAAAGUGGAGAAACUCGGGUCUGUUCCUCGAAGUUUCCAUCGUUGGCAAGUUAGCAAUAAGACAUUUAUUUUUCUUUGUCUCUCAGACAAACAAAUAAAAACUAAAAUCAAACAAAAAAAAAAAAGAAACCAACAAAAGAAACCAACUACCCCUAACCAAAAUAAGCUACACUCCCUCUAUAUAAUGCAAAAAGGUCUCCUCCCUCCCCUGGAUAAAUCCUUAUGUAAUUUUCUGUCCUUAAGCCAAACUUCAGUCUAUACUCAAUCCCACACCUGCUCAGUGCUUCAUGAAGAAAGUCUUUUAUACAUGACCAUGAACAGAGCCUAUACCUCACAGAAUAACCAUCUCAAGGUGUGGCAUGGUGCCAGCAAGGAUUAACUAUAGCAGUUAAUUUCUUCUGAUAGUGACAGUGUUUAGAUUAUAUGCAAUUAAAAGCUGUGCUACCUGUUUCUAGUCAAAGAGUAUUUACUGGAUUUUCAGUAUCUACUUUUAUCAAAUCAUUCCUUGCUCUUAUUUAAGCAAAUUAAGUUUCCUCAUUGUUUUAUGCAAAAGUUGCAAGGAGCAAGCAGUUCAAGGCACAUAAAGCACUGAAAGGGUAAAGAGGUAGUUCAAUUUAGCUGGAAGCCCUCAGAAUGAAAAGAGCCAAACAACAAAGCAAACAAAAAACCCCGAAAAAACAAAUAAAAAUUAGAGUUUUCAUCACAAUGCCUUAAAAUACACUACCUCUUCUGUAUCAUAAGGACAACUAUGCAAAAUCUUCAUAAAUCGUCCCAGGUACCGGGAUUACACAACCCUAGCAGAAUGAUAUACAUUAAAUUAAUUAUUUUUCAGGAUUAAUAAAAUACUGUUGAAUAGAGUGUAGAACUUACUAUUCUAGUGAUCCCUUCUCCAUCUCCUGAGCAUAGAAAAGUCACAACUUUGCAUUCACACCUUCCCUCUAGAUGAACCACUGGCUGUCAAAGUGCCUGUGACAAACGCAGGCUCCCAUGCUUAUGGGGUCAGCAAGGACACUGCAGUAAGGGCAGCUUUGGUCCCCACACUCAUUUUGCCAAAAAAAAUAGUUUGGUUUUUUUUUAAAGCAAUGUGGAAGAGAUGUCAGUAAUGACAUUUGCUUUCUAAAAAAAUCGCCAAACCCUAUGUUGUACAAUAAUGACAUAGCAGGAAUAAACUAUUUGCAGUGCUGCACUUGGAGAGGUUGAAAACGCAAACAUGCCUCCUAAUUUUAGUGUAUCGGUUUCCAAAGUCUGCUUGUGCAAUGAGAAAGGGUGGUUGAGUAUAAUCUUAGUUCAAAGAUUGAAGCAGGCUAAAAACAGCAUUUGCUAUGAAAGCCCAAAUUUUUCUUUUUGCUUGCUGAACGAACUUUAUCCACUGCAAGUAGAGGCAGUUGAAAAAUAGUAACAUCAUCUUAUUUGCACAUAGCAAACCACUACUCUCUUUACUCAGAAAUCUGAUCUAAAAAUAUGCAAUGGUAAUUUCCCAGAUCAGAACGCUUUAAAAAAUGGUUAUUAAUAUCAAUUCAAUAACAUGACGGGACUUCUAUCCCUGCAAAAGCAAACAGUUAAAAGUGAAAAAAGUCCCAGUAUGAGAUUCACAAACAAUUCCAACUCUGUUCCAAUACUGGCCACCAUCUUCAACCUUCCAAGGAUGUACUUAUGUAUGAACAAUUAUACCUUAAAUUUUAUUUGAAGUAUUAAGGGAAUCUGACCUGAAAUUGCUGCAAUUAAGAAAAUAUUAAUAUAUUACAUAAUUUAUAUUAUUUUUCUGGAUAUUUUCAUGGUUUGUUUGGGUUUUUUUUCAUUUUUUUCUUAGUGGUAUCUUAGAGAAAUAACUGAAUUUCUCCUGAACAAUGAAAACUAGAGAGGUGCCUGGCUGCAAGAAUGUGAAUGCUGCAAAAAGAAAUGACAAGAGGAGGAGAGGCCCUUACUCCAUCCUCAUCCUCUCCUGGUGUCAGCUGGUGAGCCAUCAGCCAGUGUCCCUCCAUGAGUGUUGUCUGGCAUACAGACUAGAAAAAAAGAACACCAGUGGUGGUAGCUCACAACACAAGGAUGAACAGUAAGACUCUGGUUUUAGCAAGUGGCACUUUGCAUUAGCCAUUACUAGAAUUAGUGCAUAAUCUCUACCUCAAGAUGGUAAGGAAAGGAUUCAGCUGUAUUUCCCACGUCAUGGUGCUUGGGUACUUGCUGCUCAUCCCUCUGGCUAUCCCUGUCAACAGAAGAGGAGGAUUGGGCAGUGUACUUUGCUGGAAGAAUUCCCUUCCACUUCUGCCUCGUCCUGCUUCCAGCUUUGAGCACACACAUCCCUCUGUGGCUGGUGUGCUGCAGAGAGGCACCUACAAUUGCUUCCUAGGGCUGAACACCUGAGCCUACUCACCUGCAGAAGUGCACAUUUCUAUACAGGCAACAGAAAAAGUGUGUAUUGGAGAUGCAAGGUCCUGGCCAUCACCUUCUGCCUUGGGUCAAAAAGGGAAAAAAAAAA
rnacentral:lncRNA from 1 species